rnacentral:lncRNA from 1 species
UAAAGAUGAAAAUCCUCUUGAAAGGCGAAAUGGCUAAUGAAAAACUUCUUGAAGGUCACCAAACUGGAAGACAAUUAACAACAG